UAAAUUAAGUAUUUAAUGUAUAUAUCAUUUACAAUGAUAAGGUCUAAAGAUAGUAGAAUUUAUUUAAAUUAAUUAACUGUAAAGGUUUUAUUGUUUUGGUUUAUUUAUAAUACCUUUUGCAUAAUGGUUUAAUUAAAUAAUUAAUUUAAUAUAUUAUUCCCGAAAUUAGAAGAUCUAAUUUAUUUUUUAAGUUAGUAAUAAUUUAAAAUAAUGUUUCAUAAUUAUUAUAUAAAAAUAAAUUAGGGGUGAAAGGCUAAUCAAUUCUAAGGAUAUCUGGUAUAAUUUAAAAUGUAUUUAGUACAGGACAAGAUCUGAAUAAUAAAAUGUUAAGGUUUUAUUAUAUAAGAAUAUAUAUUAAUAUUUAUUUAUGAUUUAAUAUUCAAAUAAUUUUAAAAAUUUAGAAAUUUAUUGUAUUAUUAUCUUAUAGUAAUAAAAUUAUAAUUUAAUUAAUUUAUAAUAAAAUAGAUUAUGUUAAAAUUAGUAUAAAUUAUU
rnacentral:rRNA from 1 species